rnacentral:rRNA from 1 species
AGAGUUUGAUCAUGGCUCAGAACGAACGCUGGCGGCAGGCCUAACACAUGCAAGUCGAGCGAGGACUUCGGUCCUAGCGGCGGACGGGUGAGUAACGCGUGGGAACGUGCCCCUUGGUACGGAAUAGUCCCGGGAAACUGGGUUUAAUACCGUAUGAGCUCUUCGGAGGAAAGAUUUAUCGCCAAGGGAUCGGCCCGCGUUGGAUUAGGUAGUUGGUGGGGUAAUGGCCUACCAAGCCGACGAUCCAUAGCUGGUUUGAGAGGAUGAUCAGCCACACUGGGACUGAGACACGGCCCAGACUCCUACGGGAGGCAGCAGUGGGGAAUCUUAGACAAUGGGGGAAACCCUGAUCUAGCCAUGCCGCGUGAGCGAUGAAGGCCUUAGGGUUGUAAAGCUCUUUCGCUGGGGAAGAUAAUGACGGUACCCAGUAAAGAAGCCCCGGCUAACUCCGUGCCAGCAGCCGCGGUAAUACGGAGGGGGCUAGCGUUGUUCGGAAUUACUGGGCGUAAAGCGCGCGUAGGCGGGCUGGAAAGUUGGGGGUGAAAUCCCGGGGCUCAACCCCGGAACUGCCUCCAAAACUAUCAGUCUGGAGUUCGAGA